rnacentral:rRNA from 1 species
AUUCCAGCUCCAAUAGCGUAUAUUAAAGUUGUUGUGGUUAAAAAGCUCGUAGUUGGAUCUCGGCGGUCUGGGGGCGGUUCGCUUCAGAGCGCUACUGCCCUAUAGACCGUAGUUUUGCCAGAGGUCUCAGGGUGCUCUUAACCGAGUGUCUUGCGAUGCUGGCAGGUUUACCUUGAGAAAAUUAGAGUGUUUCAGGCAGGCUAGCGCCGGGAUACAUUAGCAUGGAAUAAUGGAAUAGGACUUUUUCCUCUUCUGUUGGUCUGAGGGGUUCGAGUAAUGAUUAAUAGGGAUAGUUGGGGGCAUUAGUACUUUGCUGUCAGAGGUGAAAUUCUCGGAUUUGCAAAAGACUAACUUAUGCGAAAGCAUUUGCCAAGGAUGUUUUCAUCA